rnacentral:rRNA from 1 species
GAUGAACGCUAGCUACAGGCUUAACACAUGCAAGUCGAGGGGUAACGAGAGGAAAGCUUGCUUUCCUUGUCGACGACCGGCGCACGGGUGAGUAACGCGUAUCCAACCUGCCCCCAACUAGGGAAUAACCUUGCGAAAGUAAGACUAAUACCCUAUAAUUUCCUCAGAUGUCAUCUGACGAGGAAUAAAGCGUUAUCGGUUGUGGAUGGGGAUGCGUCUGAUUAGCUUGUUGGCGGGGUAACGGCCCACCAAGGCAACGAUCAGUAGGGGUUCUGAGAGGAAGGACCCCCACAUUGGAACUGAGACACGGUCCAAACUCCUACGGGAGGCAGCAGUGAGGAAUAUUGGUCAAUGGGCGGAAGCCUGAACCAGCCAAGUAGCGUGCAGGAUGACGGCCCUAUGGGUUGUAAACUGCUUUUAUACAGGAAUAAAGUUAGCCACGUGUGGUUAUUUGUAGGUACUGUAUGAAUAAGGACCGGCUAAUUCCGUGCCAGCAGCCGCAGUAA